rnacentral:snRNA from 1 species
GUGCUCACUUUGGCAGGACAUAUACUAAAAUUGGGACAAUACAGAGAAGUUUAGUAUUUCCUCUGCACCGGGAUGACAUUUAAAUUCACGAAGUGUUCCAUAUUUAA